UCUUUGCCCAUUUUCCCCUAUCUGUUCCCAUUUUCCCCGUUUUUUCCCCAUUUUUAUUUUUCCCCCAAAUUUCCCGUUUUUGCCCCAGGACGGGGGCGGGUACCGGCGGGAGGACAAGGCUCACCUGCCCUCGGACAAGAAGGGGAAGGUGAUCUGCAAAUACUUCGUGGAGGGCAGGUGUACCUGGGGCAACCACUGCAACUUCAGCCACGACAUCGAGCUGCCCAAGAAGCGCGAGCUCUGCAAGUUCUACAUCACGGGCACACCUGGCGGCCCGCCUGGCCCCCCCAUGCACGAUAUCCUGCCUUGAACCGGGCUAAACCGGGCUAAACCUGGGCUAAAUCUGGGCUAAACCUGGGCUGAACCUGGGCUAAACCUGGGCUAAACCUGGGCUAAACCCGGCCUGAACCUGGGCUAAACCUGGGCUAAACCCGGCCUGAACCUGGGCUGAACCUGGGCUAAACCUGGGCUAAACCUGGGCUAAACCUGCCCAGAACCUGGGCUAAACCUGGGCUAAACCUGGGCUAAACCUGGGCUAAACCUGGGCUAAACCCGGCCUGAAUCUGGGCUAAACCUGGGCUAAACCCGGCCUGAACCUGGGCUAAACCUGGGCUAAACCUGGGCUAAACCCGGCCUGAACCUGGGCUAAACCGGGCUAAACCUGGGCUAAACCCGGCCUGAACCUGGGCUAAACCUGGGCUAAACCUGGGCUAAACCCGGCCUGAACCUGGGCUAAACCCGGGGCUAAACCUGGGCUAAACCUGGGCUAAACCCGGCCUGAACCUGGGCUAAACCUGGGCUAAACCUGGGCUAAACCUGGGCUAAACCCGGCCUGAACCUGGGCUAAACCUGGGCUGAACCUGGGCUAAACCUGCCCGAACCUGGGCCAAACCUGGGCUAAACCUGGGCUGAACCUGGGCUGAACCUGGGCUAAACCCGGCCUGAACCUGGGCUAAACAUGGGCUAAACCCGGCCUGAACCUGGGCUAAACCCGGCCUGAACCUGGGCUAAACCUGGGCUGAACCUGGGCUAAACCUGCCCCGAACCUGGGCCAAACCUGGGCUAAACCUGGGCUAAACCCGGCCUGAACCUGGGCUAAACCCGGCCUGAACCUGGGCUAAACCUGGGCUAAACCUGCCCCAAACCUGGGCUAAACCUGGGCUAAACCUGGCCUGAACCUGGGCUAAACCUGCCCCAAAGCUUCCCUGAAACUGCCCCCGAGAGCUGUCCCUACAUGCACGAUAGCCUGCCUUGAACCGGGCUAAACCUGGGCUAAACCUGGGCUAAACCCGGCCUGAACCUGGGCUAAACCUGGGCUAAACCUGCCCUAAACCUGCCCUGAAACUGCCCCCCAGAGCUGUCCCUACAUGCACAAUAUCCUGCCUUGAACCAGGCCUAAACCUGGGCUAAACCCGGCCUGAACCUGGCCUGAACCUGCCCCGAACCUGGGCUAAACCCGGGCUGGACCUGGGCUGGACCUGAG
rnacentral:lncRNA from 1 species